GAACAGUUGGCGGGUCACGGUGAUGUAUGAAAGAUUAGAUUCCAAAACCUCACCUCGAACACAGCGUUUUGAUACUUUAUCUUCACCUAUUAACUAUAUAGAGAUUACUAUAAGCGUGGCGAGCCCGCUUAAUAAAUAAUUAAUUCAAUAAGUCAUGCUUGGCCACAUUCAAGUUUAAGUUCAACUGAAAUUUGAUAGUUUAUCUCCACCUAUUAACACCCACUGUCAAUUCAUUUAAACGUGAUACAUCAGCCUCUUAAAGAAAGCCUGUGUCUUUGAAAUGAAACAGAUUUUAAUCAUGUUGAGUCAUGUUGGUCAAGGCGAUGUAUAAAAGGUUAGAGACCAAAACUUCUCACACGUUUCGAUAAUUAAUUCGCACCUAUUAACACCCACCGUCAUUUCAUUUGAACGCGAUAAAUCAACCUCUAAAAGUCAUAUGUAACCAUGCCAUAUCCUUGAUAUUAAAACAGUCCAAACUAGCGGAAAGAAAAUGAUGCUGUUGAAACUGACAAUGCUGAUGGCACUUGGGUUUCCAAUACUAUGUGCCACAGUUCCACUUCUCAACAGCACAGCAAUACAAAGCUCUUUACCAAGCUGCGGUACUGAUGGCUAUACAGACUGGUUAAGAGUGGGACCAUACUGUGCCAAAUAUUUUGUGGAGCAGUUAACAUUUGGUGAAGCAGAGGGACGCUGUGUAAGCCAGCAUCCUAAUGGCCAUCUUAUUUCGGUCCAUGAUCAGCCAACGGUAUAUGAUCUGAUAGCUCUUACUCAAUACAACAAAGCAUGGAUUGGAGGACUCAGGAUGCCCUGUAAUUCGGGUAGCUGGAUGUGGACUGAUGGCUCACAAUGGAAUUAUCAAAACUGGGUACCAGGACAGCCAGAUGGCAGUGGCGAUUGCAUU